rnacentral:rRNA from 1 species
GAGUUUGAUCCUGGCUCAGAACGAACGCUGGCGGCAUGCCUAACACAUGCAAGUCGAACGAAGCCUUCGGGCUUAGUGGCGCACGGGUGCGUAACGCGUGGGAAUCUGCCCUUAGGUACGGAAUAACUCAGGGAAACUUGAGCUAAUACCGUAUAAUGACUCCGGUCCAAAGAUUUAUCGCCUAAGGAUGAGCCCGCGUAGGAUUAGCUUGUUGGUGAGGUAAAAGCUCACCAAGGCGACGAUCCUUAGCUGGUCUGAGAGGAUGAUCAGCCACACUGGGACUGAGACACGGCCCAGACUCCUACGGGAGGCAGCAGUGGGGAAUAUUGGACAAUGGGCGAAAGCCUGAUCCAGCAAUGCCGCGUGAGUGAUGAAGGCCUUAGGGUUGUAAAGCUCUUUUACCCGGGAUGAUAAUGACAGUACCGGGAGAAUAAGCCCCGGCUAACUCCGUGCCAGCCGCCGCGGUAAU